AUUGAACGCUGGCGGCAGGCCUAACACAUGCAAGUCGAGCGAGCGGCGGACGGGUGAGUAAUGUAUGGGGAACUGCCUGAUGGAGGGGGAUAACUACUGGAAACGGUGGCUAAUACCGCAUACUAUCGGAUGUACCCAGAUGGGAUUAGCUAGUAGGUGGGGUAAUGGCUCACCUAGGCGACGAUCUCUAGCUGGUCUGAGAGGAUGACCAGCCACACUGGGACUGAGACACGGUCCAGACUCCUACGGGAGGCAGCAGUGGGGAAUAUUGCACAAUGGGCGCAAGCCUGAUGCAGCCAUGCCGCGUGUAUGAAGAAGGCCUUCGGGUUGUAAAGUACUUUCAGCGAGGAGGCGUUACUCGCAGAAGAAGCACCGGCUAACUCCGUGCCAGCAGCCGCGGUAAUUC
rnacentral:rRNA from 1 species